CUUGGCACCGUCUCCCGGCUGCAGCUGCUCGCGGGACUGCAGAGGAGGGGAGAGUCGGCGUCGGGCCGGGAGCACUGAAGGCGCAGCUGGGCCCUGAUUCAGGAGUCAGGAAGUUCUAAAAAAUUUCCACCACCUACAGCCAACCCAUACUUGAGGAGGAGGGGAUCGAGAAACAUACAAGAUGCAUUUGAGCAGUGUCAUUUUGUUUUGGGAGACUCCUGGCUGCUCUUGGAAUGUAGAAUGAGCCCAGAAAACCAAUCAAGAAGCUCAGAAGUACGUUUGGGGAAAAAAUUAAGAAAUAUUUAAGUUACACCACUACUUCACCACUGCAAGAGUAGGUAUAGCUCAGAAGACAUUCCACUAAUUCCAGCAUCUCUUUUUAACAUCAGUGAUCCUUUAACCUAGCUCAAAUUCAUAGAUAAAGAAUAACUAAAGACCACAUUGACUAGUGCAAGUUAAAUGUAAGAGUUUUCCAACUCACAACAGAAGGUUGUUUACAAAAGAAAAUUUGAGAAAAUAUACAAACACUAGCUCAUAGAUUCUAGGAAAGUGGACUACUGUUCUGUGCUUGUUGCAAAUUAGGUGUUGUUAGUAAGCAACCUUAUUGAUGGUGGUUUUUGGGAAUGGCCAAAUAGCCACCUAACUCAAACUCACAAGUAAAGCCAUGUUCAUACUGAAAAUACAAGGAAGAGAAUUGGAACUAUGAGUGAAAACUGAGUAUACAACUGAUCAGACUUCACAAUCAUUGCUCACACUGAAGAGAGAACUCUUGGACAUUGUAUUUGAAAGAACUGUGGCCAUUGUUCUUCAUUUAGCUGAACAGAACCUACCGUUUCAUGGAUCCAUGGAAAAAACUUACCAAGUGUGGAAAUGGAAACAUCUUAGGCCAAGUUAAGUAAGUGGCUAAAUUUGAGCUUGUGAUGAAAGAACAUGUAAGAUAAUUUUUCACUAAAAAACACCAUUACUUAAGCCCUACCCUAAAACAUAUUUUGUAUUGAUCUCUGAAAGGUAACAGGUACAAUUAACAAACAAGAUGAAGAAUCCUUUAUUUUGGAUUGCACAUCUGAGAUAAGUCACAAGAAACAAAUAUCUGCCAGUUUGAGAUACCUCUUUUGGAUCUUAAUAUAUCACCAUUGAAGAGCACUUCCUAUAUUUUAGGAGUUAUCUAGACAUGGUGUGACAGAUGCUAUAUACAGGGGACAAGGAUAUGACAAUGGAUCUAACAUGAGAGGACAGCACUAGGGUGCGCAAGCUCAUUUAAUUCAAAAGAAUAAAAAAGGCAUUUUUCCUCUGUGAGGAUGCCAUUCCUUAAAUCUAGUGUUGAGUGACACAGCUAACUUCUCAAACUGGUCAAAACUUUUUUUCAAGUGUUCUUUAAUGAAUGCACACUAUAUUUGCAGCUUCAGCCAGAAGGUGGAGAGUUUUGAAAUCCAAUGUGAAAACAUUAAGGUCUCUCCAAACACAAGAUGAGGGAGCAAACUUGAACGUGUCAGUACUUUGCAGUUUCAGAUGGAGUGCACACAAUCAGCGCUGUAGAAAUUGAGAGAAAUGACAAGAAAUAAUGGGGAACAGGAAGAAACCAGAUCACUGGCCGAUGAAUUCUCAUUUAAGUUCAUUAUCUCACUUGUGGUUUGGCACAACUUAAUGUUCAAAAUUAUUAUAGUAGGCAAAAAAUGUCAGAACACAGUGCUUGGUCUUGAUGUCAGCAAAUUAGUUGAAGCUACUCAGCCAAAUACAGAAUUAACAUGAAAAUAGAGUUGAAGAGGUGUUAAUUGCUAAAACAUACAGAAGAAAUGUCAGUGCCUGCAAAACUAACUGAAAUGAGUCCACAGAAAAUAAAUUGCUCAGGUACAAAGCAGAGGAUCAAGUUGUUGGCAAUGCAGAAGAGAUUUCAAUUUAACUUCUUCACUACUGUGACAGACACUGGCGAGGCUGCUCUCAUGAGCUUGGGAUAAUGUUUUGAAUUAUUGCACGAACACAUGGAUGUGUUUGGAUUUGUAUGUGAUGUGAAAAACAUGGCAAACUUUUUUCCUAACAAGUGAAUUGAACAAAUUGUGCAGUAACCUGGAAUCAGCUCUGACAAGUUCUGAAGACAAUAUUGGGAAUGUAGAUGUGUGCAACCUGGUACAUGAACUCCAGAGUCUUUCUGGGGUUUUGCUGAAAUCUGUUGAUGCACUUGAGUCACUUUCAUUCAUUUUCAGCAGGAAUUUGACCCUGAUGUACCCAAACACGUGUAUUGUUCCAUAAGUGUUUCUCACAGCUCCAGUGUCCAUAGCAUUUGCAGAAAGAAGUUUCUCAAAGCUUAAGUUAAUAAAAACUUAUGCGGUCUAUUGUGUCUCUGUGGACUGCCUACAUUGUCCACAGAAAGUGACAUUUGCAACACACUUCAAGGAUGUGACAGAAGAAUUCAUCAAUAAGCACUCCAUUACUCAGAAUGAACAAGAUAUUGCAGGUUUAUUCUUUUGGAUCAUUGGACUACAAAGCUGACUGAUUUCCUGGAUGUGUCAAAACUUCUUCAGUUUCAUUUGAUCUGGCAAUGGGAAUUUCAUUUCUCAGCUGUUAUUUUGCCUCUCACUCCAUUGUUACUGCUUUUUCACAUUUCACUACUUGUGUGUAGAAUUUAGUAUACUACCCUUUGUGAAUAUUUGGAAACCAUCUCAUAUGAAAUCUUUCUCAAAUGCAAAUUUCUUUAAUUUUUAAUGAAAGUAGAUCUACAACCACCAGACUUCAAAAAUCAUGAAUUAUAUAACUAAAAAUUACAUGAAAUGAGUUUUUUAUUUUGCCUUUUUUCCCUGAGCCUUUAUACUAGGCUGAGAACUACAAAAGUAUUUAGGCUCCUAACUUCUCCUGAUUUCAACAGAAGUUAGGAGCCUAAAUACUUUUGUGGAUCUGGGCCUAACUUCAGUUUUUUGCUGUUACCACUCCCACAGAAUCCAUAUAUAGCGGAACGCCAGUUAUCCAAUCUAACUGGUCCAGAUCGGAUAAUCAAAAAUUCAGAUAAUGGGAAAGUGCAAGGCUGCGGCGCCAUCUAGUGAGACUACCUGUUUGGUUAAUACAGAGAGCCAGAUAAACAGCGUUCUUACUGUACCUAAAAUACUGUUCUGGACUGUCUGCUUAAUUGAAAGUUUACUUUAAAAAAUUCUGAUUUCUGUAAGUAAUUUUCCUCAGUAUGCAAACAGUGCAGCAUAUGCUUUACUCCUACUACAUCAUUUUCUGCAUACAUAGAUAGUGAUAUUUCUACAGUUAUUUAUAUGUUUAAUUGCAUACUGUACUGGUUUAGUCUUAUGCAUGAUACAUAUCUUUGCUGUGAUACAUUUCAGUGGUGUUCUUCAUAUUGAAAAGUUUUUGUACUGCCAAUCACAGAGUUCAGGAUGUGGAAGGAGACACAGUAAGCAGGAUUUGUUUAGAACAGAUUUAAAAAUAAAUGAUCACCGACAUAUUGAAAAGUUUGAUUUGUACAAUCUCUUACCCACUUUCUAGAAUGUAAGAAAUACCACCCAAUUAAACAAAUGCAGAAAAGAUAGCGAUGAACAUUUAAAAGUCCACAGACUGGUCUAUAUGCAGCUCACCAGCUGCACAGAACUGGUAGGUCACAGGGUCUUUCAGUUGUUAAAUUGCAUUUAUACCUAAAAUACAUGGCUUACGUGGAUAAUUACUUUAAAAAACAAACAGAUGCUUUAGUUGCCAUAAAAUGCAGGGUGUUUUACACAUUAACUCAGAGGAUACUGUGAGGAAGAACUGCCUACCUAGGGAGCUUUACGCUGUGCCUUCCAGAUCCAGGUGCUGUCAUAUGCCCACACUGCUCCACCGGAAGCAGAGAGGGAGCCCGAACUGAGAGCAGCCACUUGGAUACCUGGAUCUGAAGGGAGAUGCUGCCCUUUCCCAAGCCUAGCGGAGGGUCAAGGUUAAAAAAGCCCAUCAGCUUGACUAAAGAGAGGGGUUCCUUCCUUCUCCAAUCCCAACGAGAGGAGGGAGGCAGCAAAAUCAAGGAGCUUCGGUUAACAGUGGUAGUUUGAGCUCUGCGGGAGGGAUUCCUCAAAUCUUGGAACAUAGAGAAAGAGAAGCAGGAUAUGCACCAGGAAACCCCAUAGGGAGCUAUGCUCCCCAACUGCAAGCAAGGGGGAAGAAAAGCUCUGGUUGCUUGGGCUGGCUGGGAGGAAACACACCUGGAGGGAAGCCUCUUUCACUUUGACCCCAUAGGAAACCACAAAGAUGAUGAAAAUUCUUAGGGGGGUUUGUUUUGAGCAGACACUUGCCUCACAAAGCUUCUCUUGGUCAAAAGGUAGGUCCUCAACCUCAGUUUGGAGUUUAAGUAUGCCAGAGGAUUGUAACCAGGAUGGCUGGCACAUGACUAUGGCUGUGGCCGUGGUUCUGGCUGCCAUGUCCACAACAUCCAAAGAUGCUUGGAGGGCUGUUUUAGCUAUGAGUUGACCCUCAUUUACAGUGGCUUAGAAUUGUGACUGUUUCUCUUGGGGGAGCUCUGCUGUGAACAAGCAGAGUUUCCCAUAAUUAUCAUAACUGUAUUUUGCCAGUAAGGCUGAGUAGUUGGCGACUCAGAAUUGUAUUGUCACCAAGGAGUAUAUUUUUUGUCUGAAGAGAUCUAGCCUAUUGUGUUCUUUGUCAUAUGGGGUCGAUUGAAACUGUAGUUGUUUGCCAUGCUGAUUAUAUCAGUAUCGACCAUGAAAGAGUUGGGAGGCAGGUGCGAGAUGAGAAAAUCCAUCCCUUUGGUGGGGAUAUAAUACUUUCUAUCCAACCUUCCGCAUGUCAGUGGAAUUCAGGCUGGUGUCUGCCAGACUGUCUCCGCUGCUUCUAAGAUCGCAUCAUCAAUGGGCCGAGUGAUUUUGAAAGUAGAUGCAAGUUGCAAGAUUUGUACUAGCUUCUAUUGGUUUGCAUGCACUUCCUCCAACAGAAUGUCCUGGCUUCAGCCGACUCACUUAAACAGUUCCAGGAACUGUCUGAAGUAAUCUGCCAAGGUAGGUGGUGGCGGCAUGAUUCCCUUAUCCGGGGAGGAGGAAAAAUUGUGAGCAGAUGUCGCUUCCAGAUCAGUGGCUGUUUCUGUGUUAUCCCCAACAUGCUGAGCCUCCGUUGGCUGCAGAGUGGGAGAGAUGGGAUAAGACCUCAGCUCGCCUCUCUGAGCUGCGGGUAGCCUGGAGUGGGGACCCUGGUAAGUUGCCCAUGGUUCCCAAUGUGCCCACUGCAUUGUGAAGGCCAUCGAUGAAUAUAUCCACAGUGGUCCAUACCAUGGUUGAGCCAGCUGAUAAGGGUAUUUAGGACCCAUCUGGCUCCAGGUUGGUUGUCGGUCUUUCAGUGAUGUCGUGUGGCGAGAAAGUGCAUGGUUCCUGCACAUCACUGGACAAGUGUACCACAUCAUGAGAAGUAUGGGGAUCUCCUCUAACUUACAGGAGAGCCCUCAGUACCAAGUAGUGGGGACUGCAGAGCCAGUGACACAGCCAAGUCUCUGUUGCAGUAGAUUCUCUGGCAGUUCUGAUGUCUGUGCCGUUGGUGCCAAUGGGGAUGCUCGUCGAUGCCCUCAGAUGUGCUGUUGAUGUUUUCAGUGUGGUCAGUGUCAACUCGGUUUUCUCAACUGGUGCCAACUGCAGUGUCGGUGCCAGGGGCGGAGACAUAGGGCCUGAGGAUCCCUUAAGGGUGAAUUCAGUGCCAUGGAGGAGGCACGUUGCCAUCUGUGCCUCAACUCAGCCUUCUUUGCUUGGGACUCAGCAGUGCAGGAAGUGCCCGGAGCAUCACAGGUGCUCACCUGAGCCUGUGUCGGCAUCAGAGAUAGCGACCUAGCAGGAGACUGUCUGUUUCCACAGUGCUCUCUGCAGAGACAUCUGCACCCUUUUUCUCAGUCUUUUUGAGGAAGGCAUGUCUCUUGUUCCUGUGGGGUGGUGCCAAGAGAGGAGGGCCAUUGAUCUGGCUGUGGUUGGAGAGAUUUCUCCAUCAUUAUCAUUUUCAAGUGGAGAUCCUGGUCACGCUGGGAUCUUGCUUUCAGAUUACUGCAGUGGGUGCAUUUUUGCGGGAUAUGCAUCUCCCCAAGACAUCGGACUCACGAAGAGUGUCCGUCCAAAACAGACAUUGCUUCAUGGCAAGAGUCGCAUCAGUUAAAGUCUGGGGAGCCAAACAUCUCUGACAUUAACCAACCUUGGUGGGAGGAGGGUAAACUGUUUAAAUAAACUCCCCCCCCCCCAAAACUAGCACCAACACUAUACGUUUUUAAAGACUAUUUAAACUGCUCUCUUUUAAAAAAAUUUGGCAAGAAUAAUGAACUCGCCCCUGAGCGCCAUCUUUGGUCAAGGAUGGUUGAGAAGGAACUGAAGGGCUCGGGUCCUGCACGCGGAGAUGCAACACCAAGACACCUAACUGCACGCGUGACCCGCGCAGACACUACUGUAAAUCUCCAAUCAACAGCACCAGGACACACCCACAGGAACAGCAUUCGAAGAAUCAGGUUUCUGCCAGAGGCACAACAGCAGCAGAUCUGGCUUCCACUCUUGAACCUGUUACUGAUUUCCUGCAGAAGUUUAGCCAAGUCAUAGCAAUUACCUUUCAAUAGAGCAGGGGUAGGCAACCCAUGGCACGUGUGCCAAAGGCGGCACGCAAGCUGAUUUUCAGCAGCACUC